GCUAGGCGGGAGAGCGCGGCCAUGGCGGGGCCGGGCGUCCCCGGUGCCCCCGCAGCGCGCUGGAAACGCCACAUCGUGCGGCAGCUGCGGCUUCGGGACCGUACGCAAAAGGCGCUUUUCCUGGAGCUGGUGCCGGCCUAUAACCAUCUCUUAGAGAAGGCUGAGCUGCUGGACAAGUUCUCAAAGAAGCUGCAGCCGGAGCCAAACACUGUCACUCCCACCACCCACCAGGGCCCCUGGGAGGAGUCAGAGCUUGACUCAGACCAAGUCCCAUCACUGGUCGCACUGAGGGUGAAGUGGCAGGAGGAGGAGGAGGGGCUCCGGCUGGUCUGUGGUGAGGGGCCCGGACACCCUAGGCGAUGGGAUGAGGGAGAGAAGGGAGACUCUGGCUCUGGCCCCUGAGCCAGAGCCCCUGGAGAAGGAAGCUUGUGAGAAGUGGAAGAGGCCAUUCAGGUGAGGACCCAGGUGACAGUCUCAGAGCUCUGAGCUGAGCCCCACCCCAGAGGCUGCCAGGGUCUU
rnacentral:sRNA from 1 species